rnacentral:lncRNA from 1 species
UUUUAAAUCAAACUACACAAGCAUAAAAUUAUCUAACAGAACAUGAACACCAUGUAUCCUAUUCAGAGACAUCUUCACUGCAUAUAUAUGCUAGAUAAUCAAAAAUCUGAAAGCAUCUUAGAGGAAGCCCUCACUAAGAACCUUGGCAGACGUUCAUGAAGCUGCGCCUACAUUAGCUACAUGACCGACAAUUACUCAAAUCUGUCGUAGUAAACAAAUAACACAGUUGAACAACAGAUAAAUAGGAAGAGACAUACAUGAAUUGCAGUCAGAUUUACAUGCCUGCUGUUCCUCGACACUGCAACCCUUCCUCGAGGGCCGACACGAUUUGGUCUGCUUGUUUUGUUUACUCCGGCUAUUCAUUGUUGGUGCUGGAUUUUUAUUGUCUGCAUUGCUGCAUUAGAUGAAUAUUUGCUACCGUAAAUAUUUCAAGGGAAAAAGUGAUUUGUGAGAUUAUUUUUUCUAUAGGAUGGGAGAAGCGUUACUUACUCUUGCUUUUGUCCUUUGGGAGGAGCACAGUCCUAUUCCUUUUUUUUGCGGGAAACGUUCCUAUUCCUUUGAGGUGCAUUCCAAAAUAUUGUACAUACGUACUGCUACUGUAUGAGUGGAUAUAGAAGAAUAGAUAAAAAAUCAACAAAAACAAUACAGAGAACUAACAAAAAUUGCAGGAAAACUAAUUAUGCUUGCCUUCUUUUAGAUAAUAUAGGAUAGUUUAGGGGCUAAACCAACUAAUCAAUAAAAAGGAGAGCAUGUAUGUAGUUCAUCUAGUUAUUAUGAAACAUGUGCUUUAUAAGCAUAUGAGUGUUGUAAUAUCUGUCAGAUUUUUUCGGAUUAGAAGGCAGUGUUACAUAGCAAUGAAGCAAAAUUUAAUUCAGAUUUCAAUGAAGGAAACAAAAAAUCUGAAUUAUUAAUUCAGAUUUGAAUUAAGCAAAAAAAUACAGAAUUAGCCACCAAGGGGAACUUGGGAAGAGUAUGUACCAGGAGUCAAAAAUCAGAGGCGUAUGCGUAUGCAGUGACGUGAUGGACGAAGAUGACUACUUGAGCUUCUCCAGAUCACAACACCUGAAAAAGUGAUGCAAGCAGCAACAUGAAAUAAUUAGAAUGCAAUGUUAGAUAUCUAAUCAAGGAAAAAUAAAUUCAGAUUUGAAUUAAGCAAACAAAAUUUCAGAAUUAGCAAUGGAGUGGAACUUGGGAAGAAUAUGUACCAGUAGGAGGGAAAAAUUGAAGGAGUAUGCGUACGCAGUGACGGGGCCGACGAAGAUGACUACUUCAGC